rnacentral:pre_miRNA from 1 species
AAUGGGAUAGCUGGGUCAAAUGGUCAUUCCAUUUCAAGUUUUCUAAGGAAUCCCCAUACUGCUUUCCAGAUUGGUUGCACCAGUUUUCAGUCCCACUAGCAAU